GCAAGAGAUUGCCUCUCAGUCUUUUCUUGAAGCUUUCAAAUGCAGGCUUUAGGCCUAUUGUGAUGCUAAUGGAUCUCCUCUGCCCUUACUUUGCCCAUUCUGCAUGGAGGGGGCAGCUCUAGUCCCCCAAGCAUGAAAGAAGUUGGGUACUCCCGGUUCUGAUCAUUACUGCCACCAGGAAGAGCUAGAAAACAGGGAUAUCUUAUUUAUUGGAGGAAUGACAGUGUGAACAGAGGCGUGGCUGCGUUCUCACCAGCUGAGAUAAACGCCGACCAGACCAGCACAGACAUCCUGUGCUCGUUUCCUUUACUUGGUUUUUCAAAUAAAGCCUUUGUGUGUCACUGGUAUUGUGAGGAAUACGAAAUAAUG
rnacentral:lncRNA from 1 species